rnacentral:lncRNA from 1 species
CUCAGAGACAGCAUUAUAGCAAAUAUCUGUUUAAGCAAAGCCCAACCAAAUACCUCAUUCAGCGGAAAUUUUGUUUUAACUUAGCUUUUAGGAAAUAUAGGAGGUUGAAAUUAGCCUAAUCAGUUUUUGGCAAUAAUAAUCAUGAUGAUGAUGGAUAUAAAGGAUAAGAAUGAGAAGAAGUGAGAGAAAGGAGGAGAGAGAAUAGAGAAGAAAGAAGAGAAAGAAGAAGAGGAGGAUAAUGGAGGCAAAGAUGGAGAGGAAGAAAACCAAGGUGUCAACAGCAAUGUGGAAGACCAAGAAGAGCACAUUUGAUGAAGACACGUGGUGGGGUGUGUUGCUGACUGUUCAGCCAGAAGCCCAGAGUCUUGACCGAAGAAAUUUGUCAGCCUCCUUUGAGCUCUUUGAAGGGAUUUUUGUCCUCUGGGAUGCCCUUUACCAGUGGAUCCUUGCCAGAUCAUUCUUCAACGUAAUCUCUUCUUCACAACAUUUGGAUACCUUAAGGGGAAGGAAAAACGGAUGACUCAUUUGGUUUAAAACAGAAUACUCCAGAUGCCAAGAAUUUAUUUACUGCAAUAAGUUUUCAGGUCGUAUAAUUUCAGUUUGAUUCUCUCUGCUUUCCACCAAUGCAUACGUACUUUGUAGGAAAGAAGAAAGUUGCACCCUUCCCACUCCUUCUGGAUAUAUCUCCAGACAAAGGAAAAACAGCUGGCCAUGCUCCAGCUAAAGAUUCCCCGUAGACACUGCCUCCAACAUCAAAGGAGACAAGACCCAGGAAUCAGAACACAACUGGCAACGGAAGUCAAGAAUGUCAUCAGAUUUCAUACUGAUUAAAUCUUUUUCCUCAUUCCAAAAAUGUGACUCGUAAAGGUGGAAGAGAAUAAUUAUUAAAUUCCAGGCUUAUCAUCAUCCCUAAAUUCUCAGAAGUAUAUACAUGGCGUGAUCUCCACUCACUGCAACCUCCAUCCUCCACCUUCUGGGUUCA